ACAUACGACCAUAGAUAGUAGAAAACUCGGGAUCCCGUCCGCUCUCCCAUAGAUAAACUACCAAUCGCCUGACUAGUAGUUGGGUCAGCGAAUCCCAGGUGUUGUAUGUC
rnacentral:rRNA from 1 species